rnacentral:rRNA from 1 species
UACGUAGGGAGCAAGCGUUGUCCGGAAUCAUUGGGCGUAAAGCGCGCGUAGGUGGCCACAUAAGUCCGUUGUGAAAGUCAAAGGCUCAACCCUUGAAUGCCGGCGGAUACUGUCGGGCUAGAGUCCGGAAGAGGCGAGUGGAAUUCCUGGUGUAGCGGUGAAAUGCGCAGAUAUCAGGAGGAACACCGGUGGCGAAGGCGGGUCUCUGGGCCGAUACUGACGCUGAGGCGCGAAAGCUAGGGUAGCAAACGGG